AGAACUUAGCAGAGAUGCUUUGGUGCCUUUCGGGAACUCUGAGACAGGUGCUGCAUGGCUGUCGUCAGCUCGUGUUGUGAAAUGUUGGGUUAAGUCCCGCAACGAGCGCAACCCUUUAUCCUUUGUUGCCAGCGGUUAGGCCGGGAACUCAAAGGAGACUGCCAGUGAUAAACUGGAGGAAGGUGGGGAUGACGUCAAGUCAUCAUGGCCCUUACGAGUAGGGCUACACACGUGCUACAAUGGCGCAUACAAAGAGAAGCGACCUCGCGAGAGCAAGCGGACCUCAUAAAGUGCGUCGUAGUCCGGAUUGGAGUCUGCAACUCGACUCCAUGAAGUCGGAAUCGCUAGUAAUCGUGGAUCAGAAUGCCACGGUGAAUACGUUCCCGGGCCUUGUACACACCGCCCGUCACACCAUGGGAGUGGGUUGCAAAAGAAGUAGGUAGCUUAACCUUCGGGAGGGCGCUUACCACUUUGUGAUUCAUGACUGGGGUGAAGUCGUAACAAGGUAAGCGUAGUGCU
rnacentral:rRNA from 1 species